rnacentral:misc_RNA from 1 species
GAUGAAGAACGCAGCGAAAUGCGAUACGUAAUGUGAAUUGCAGAAUUCAGUGAAUCAUCGAAUCUUUGAACGCAUAUUGCGCUCUUUGGUAUUCCGAAGAGCAUGCUUGUUUGAGUAUCAGUAAACACCUCAACCUCUUCUUGAUUUUUCAAAAGGAGGGUGGACUUGAGCUAUCCCAACAACCUUUACCGGUCGGCGGGCGGCUUGAAAUGCAGGUGCAGCUGGACUUUUAUCUGAGCUAAAAGCAUAUCUAUUUAGUCCUCGUCAAACAGGAUUAAUACUUUUGCUGCAGCUAACAUAAAGGAUAAUUGUCCUCUUUGCUGACUGAUGCAGGAUUUUACGACACUUUAUGUGUUGUUCAACUCGAUCUCAAAUCAAGUAAGACUACCCGCUGAACUUAAGCAUAUCAAUAAGCGGAGGA